rnacentral:lncRNA from 1 species
UCUCUAUAAAUUACAAUUUCUCUCUCUUUAUAUUCAUUUUCUAGUCAAAAGUCUUAAAAUAAUUUAUACAAAUAGGAGAAAACACACACACUCAAAUUAAGGUGCUAGGUUGUAUUUAAAAAAAUAGAUUUUUUUCAUAACAUCUGUAUUGCUUAUAGAAUAUUAUUGACAGUAUUCGUAGCUAUUUCUUUAGUAGAGAUAAGUAUUUGUCAAAAUUAAAAUUGAUAAAAUUAUAUUUAAGAUCGAUUGUGUCAAAUGAAAAAGAUUAAGUGGAUUAACAAUAUUUUUAGUUGAAAAUGACAAGUUAAGAAAACUAGAUUAUAAAAGCUUAAUUGAUAAUUU